rnacentral:SRP_RNA from 2 species
AGAUGGGAUAGGAGGGGUGGUGACGUACCCUCUGCCGCAAAUCGUAUCUGGCGGUCCGAACGCCCCCGGGCGGUGUAACCGAACCCUGGGCUUCCCACGCGUGGACGUCGAUGUCUCGCCCCCAAGUGACCCGGGUUGUCAUGAACCGUAGCCGGAAGGAAACGGGAAUUGCGUAACUGGGGGACUAGGUCAGGCCGGGAACGGAGCAGCCCUACUCGGGGCCAUGGGUGCCUUGGGAACUCGGGACGGAGGAAACGUGUGGAUUUGGGUUCAGGGAAACGAACAUCCACUGGGGGAAUUCCCACUU